UACCAGGGCUUGACAUAUACCGGGAGUCGUGUGAGAGUCUCGGCGCCCUUCGGGGCCGGUAUACAGGUGCUGCAUGGCUGUCGUCAGCUCGUGCCGUGAGGUGUUGGGUUAAGUCCCGCUACGAGCGCUACCCCUAUCGUCUGUUGCUAACAGGUAAUGCUGAGGACUCAGAUGAGACUGCCGGUGACAAUCCGGAGGUAGGUGGGUACGACGUCAAGUCAUCAUGGCCCUUAUGUCCUGGGCUACACACGUGCUACAAUGGCCGGCUACAAAGCGAGGCGAAACCGCGAGGUGAAGCGAAUCGCAAAAAACCGGUCCCAGUUCGGAUUGGAGUCUGAAACCCGACUCCAUGAAGGUGGAAUCGCUAGUAAUCGCAUAUCAGCAUGAUGCGGUGAAUACGUUCCCGGGCAUUGUACACACCGCCCGUCACACCACCCGAGUCGGGGGUACCCGAAGCCGUUUGUCUCACCGUUACGGAGGACGACGUCGAAGUACGCAUGUAAGGGGG
rnacentral:rRNA from 1 species